rnacentral:rRNA from 1 species
AUUGAACGCUGGCGGCAUGCUUUACACAUGCAAGUCGAACGGUAACAGGCCUUCGGUUGCUGACGAGUGGCGAACGGGGGCGUAAGGCAACGGAAUGGGUCCAGUGGCGGUGGAUAACGCAGCGAAAGCUGUGCUAAUACCGCAUGUGAUCUGAGGUAGAAAGCGGGGGAGCAGGCUGCAAAGUUUGGCCUUGGGCCUUAGGAACGGCCGAUGUCAGAUUAGGUAGUUGGUGUGGUAAGGGCCUACCAAGCCGACGAUACGUAGCUGAUCUGAGAGGACGACCGGCCACACUGGGACUGAGACACGGCCCAGACUCCUACGGGAGGCAGCAGUGGGGAAUCUUGGACAAUGGGCGAAAGCCUGAUGCAGCAAUGCCGCGUGAGGGAAGAAGGCCUUCGGGUUGUAAACCGCUUUUAUACGGGACGAACAGGCUCUGACUAAACCAUGCAGCUGAUGACGGUACCGUAAGAAUAAGCACCGGCUAACUACGUG